GAAGAUAUUUCAGUUACUUGUAACACAUUGAAUUUUAGCACAUUGUUAUUUUAGAUGUCAUUUUGUGUCGUGUUAUAAAUGUUUGUGGGGUUCUAGUCACAGUUUCAACCAGAAGGGCUAUAGAAUUAAGUAUGCCCUCACAAAAAGUAGGAACCUUUUCCUUUAACUUGUUCUUCCCGAAGACAUGAUACAAAGCACAAAUAUUUUUAAAAUUUUGCAUAUAUUGAAUUAUGCCUAGAGCCUUUUGCUUAAAACAUUAAUAUGACUGUCUAUUGGGAUAAAUGUUUGGUAUAUGUGUUUCUUAUGUAAAUAUUAUAAUAGUUAUUGAUUAUAGUUUCUAAAGGGCUUUUAUAAACAAAAAUAGGGUCACUGUCUGGUAAGUUAAUUUUUUUCCAGUUAAUUCUUUAUGAAUAUGUCUCUGUAUCAGUUCAUAAAGGCUGUCUUUCUCAUGGCUAACCUUUAUUCUCUUUUUUUUUUU
rnacentral:lncRNA from 1 species